AAGGGUGGCUGGGGGCGAGCUGAGGCCCAGCCUUCCUCCCUGAUGUCAGGCGUGUCUGGAAGCCGUUUCAGCAUUCAUCAGCCCUUCGACUUCUCCCUCGGUGGCCCUGCAGGAGCUACACACCAGCAUCAAAAAGACAAACAACCCAACCAGGAGCUGGGCACAGGAGUUUAAAAGACAUUUCUCUGAAGAAGACCUGCAAAUGGCCAGCAAGCACAUGAAAAGACUCAACGCCAUUAGUCAUUAGAGAAUCCACCAAAACCACAGCGAGAUGCCACUUCUCACUCCCCAGGAUGGUGAGGAGGAGUAGAAGGGGAAGGAGGGGAAGGAGGGAAUGAAG
rnacentral:lncRNA from 1 species